GGCGGGGUGGCAGAGUGGUCUAACGCGCCGCACUCGAAAUGCGGUAUGUCCGAAAGGGCAUCGUCGGUUCGAAUCCGACCCCCGCCGCCA
rnacentral:tRNA from 1 species